CGGUAAUACGGAGGGUGCAAGCGUUAUCCGGAAUCAUUGGGUUUAAAGGGUCCGCAGGCGGAUUUAUAAGUCAGUGGUGAAAGCCUACAGCUUAACUGUAGAACUGCCAUUGAUACUGUAAGUCUUGAAUUCGGUCGAAGUGGGCGGAAUGUGUAGUGUAGCGGUGAAAUGCAUAGAUAUUACACAGAACACCGAUAGCGAAGGCAGCUCACUAGGCCUGGAUUGACGCUCAGGGACGAAAGCGUGGGGAUCAAACAGGAUUAGAUACCCUGGUAGUCCACGCUGUAAACGAUGAUUACUCGUUUUCGGCGAUAUACAGUCGGAGACUAAGCGAAAGUGAUAAGUAAUCCACCUGGGGAGUACGAUCGCAAGGUUGAAACUCAAAGGAAUUGACGGGGGCCCGCACAAGCGGAGGAACAUGUGGUUUAAUUCGAUGAUACGCGAGGAACCUUACCUGGGCUUAAAUGUAGAUUGCAUAACUUAGAAAUAGGUUUUCCCUUCGGGGCUAUUUACAAGGUGCUGCAUGGUUGUCGUCAGCUCGUGCCGUGAGGUGUCGGGUUAAGUCCCAUAACGAGCGCAACCCCUAUCGUUAGUUGCCAGCGGAUAAUGCCGGGGACUCUAGCGAGACUGCCACCGUAAGGUGAGAGGAAGGUGGGGAUGACGUCAAAUCAGCACGGCCCUUAUGUCCAGGGCUACACACGUGUUACAAUGGCAGGUACAAAGGGCAGCUACACGGCGACGUGAUGCUAAUCUCUAAAGCCUGUCCCAGUUCGGAUUGGAGUCUGCAACCCGACUCCAUGAAGUUGGAUUCGCUAGUAAUCGCGCAUCAGCCAUGGCGCGGUGAAUACGUUCCCGGGCCUUGU
rnacentral:rRNA from 1 species